AACGAACGCUGGCGGCAUGCCUAACACAUGCAAGUCGAACGAGAUCCUUCGGGGUCUAGUGGCGCACGGGUGCGUAACGCGUGGGAAUCUGCCCUUAGGUUCGGAAUAACAGUUAGAAAUGACUGCUAAUACCGGAUGAUGACGUUAAGUCCAAAGAUUUAUCGCCUGAGGAUGAGCCCGCGUAGGAUUAGCUAGUUGGUGUGGUAAAGGCGCACCAAGGCGACGAUCCUUAGCUGGUCUGAGAGGAUGAUCAGCCACACUGGGACUGAGACACGGCCCAGACUCCUACGGGAGGCAGCAGUGGGGAAUAUUGGACAAUGGGCGCAAGCCUGAUCCAGCAAUGCCGCGUGAGUGAUGAAGGCCUUAGGGUUGUAAAGCUCUUUUACCCGAGAUGAUAAUGACAGUAUCGGGAGAAUAAGCCCCGGCUAACUCCGU
rnacentral:rRNA from 1 species